ensembl:lncRNA
AGGCUGAGGAGAUUCAGUGACUUUUAUAGUCUUUUAUAGCCUAUAUGGUCUGUACCUCAUUAAACACGAGAUGCACUUGCCCCUCCCACGUGGCUGUGCCACAGGAAACCUCUUAGGAGUUCAGAACUGAAAGAAGUUGAAAGCCACAGGAGUGGCAGGAUGCAUGAAAGAGAAAGAGAUAUGGAAUGUAUGAUUAGUCAUACUAUUCGCUCUGGACAUACCUCACCUGUAUACAUUAAUGAGGCUGCUGGUGACCUGGAUGGCCAGAACAGCCCCACAGAAUUAGAGGAGCUGCAGUAACAUAAGGGAAAUACAUCUGGGUAAACAAGGCUCUGGCACGUCUGUUGGAAAUCCAAUUAUUUUUCUGCUGUGUGGGAAAAACUAUGUAGCUCCAUUUAUUAUGAAAGAAUGUCAGAACGCAGAUACAUGAAUGGAAAACUUCAUACGAAGCUCUUUUUCUUUUGUGCACACGCACUUUCAUGUUACCAGCUUAUACAGGUUCUCUGAACAAACACAGCCCAUUAAAAAACUCCCCUUUCCAAGCAAUACUCCUUUCAGAUAAUACUUGUAAAAGGACCUGAAGGACUGGGAAACCAAAUACUGAAGAUACCAGUGCCUGUCACUUUGAAAAGAUUCUGGUGAAAUUUUCCAAACAGCAAAGUGUCAGAGCCACCCAAACACUGCGAACUAGGAAUGGGACUUCAGCUCCUUUGAAAUGCUGAGAUUUGAGCAAACUCACUCAACAGAGAGGCUUUCACUGCAUCUGAGAUACUACAGGAGAAGGGGAAGAGGGAAUCAGGUCCCAAAUCUAAAUUUCUGGCACUGUAAUUUGUGUUUUGCACCAAUAGCACUUAAUACUGGUCAAUAAGGGGACUGAUAAUUAAAGGUAUUCAGAUGGGAGUGCUGCAAGAAUGGAGUAGCCUUCUUAUUCCCAUUCCUCUGAUCAGUCCUUGUUCUUGUCAUUCACUUUGCAGUUUUCCAAAGAAAGGCCAUACAGUGAGAGCUGAAAGAAUUAUCAAAUGAAAUGAUUAAUGCUGUAAAUGGACACUCUCCGUCCCUGUAUGAUGCACAGGGAGAGCUUUAUCAUGAGGAAAUAUAAUAAAAUCCUAUGGCUGAUGGUUUCCAGGCUGUCCAACCUGAACUGCACCCAUCACAGAAAUAUUAAUGACUUUAACUGAUGUUCUGCAUUUUGAAUGCUUUUCGAAACUGUGCUCUCUCAGAACUGAAAAGACUUGCUGUGAUUUCGUAAUUUACAUGGCAAAGAGACUUUGUUCUUCUGUGGUGUCAAAGGUAAUUGUUGGGCUAAUGAGAUUUCAGAUCAGACAUUUAUCUGACUAAAUAAACGGACUAGAUUCAACUUGUGAAACUGGCCAAGAGAUUAAUUUGAGAUGCGCAAAUGAAGGGAUGGCAUAUGGGGAAAGUAUUCUGUUCUGCAACAUGAAGGAAAACUCCACCAUCAUACAAGCUUUUCUAUCACAUGGUGUCACAUCUAUAGAUGCCAGGUUGGAUCCCUUACGUAUCCCAGAUAGCUUUCAACCAUUCGAACUAAUGGAGUAAUUGAUGGCAAUAGCUGUUUGUCAUCUCUGAUGUGAAUCAGCAUGAACAGCGAAGAAGGCACUUUGCAGAGAGCAGGAAACUGGCUGGAAGCCUCUGUCUGUACUCUGCCCUGCAGGAGGGUGAGCAGCGAGCACAGGAGGGACAGAGGUCACUGUCUUCGUGUCUGGCACCCCACACAGCCCAUCCUUGAGCAGCCACGGCUGUGCUUACAGGCAUUCUCGUCACAGGAAGCAUCAGGUAUUCUAAAUAGAAUAAAAAACAUGAAACAACACUAAGCUGUGCAUCCCAUCUGCAUUGCUGAAAUAUUUCCGCCCUCACUGGAAUGCUGUAGAGCCCUGCUGCUUAGGUGUGCAUAAAUAAGACCCUACUGGAAAAUUUCCUGGACACAAACUGCCAUCUUACGUUUACUCACUGGAGCUUAGGGAGAGAGCUACAAAUGCAAGAGGCAGCCUCUUUGAGAAACACAGCCAAAGCAGAUUGGGG